UCAGUCCCUAGAGGCAUUGCAGGUGUGGUUGCUGUGUCACAAGUUCGUCAGUAGGUGGCAGUGAGGAGACAGGCUCUUUCUGCACUACAGUGUUCUGACCUGUGAACAAACGUAGCUUAACAUU
rnacentral:snoRNA from 1 species